CAUCCCUCGCUAAGGAGAAGGAGAGGUUAUAUAUCCCUGUCAUCUCUCCUCUCUCUCUCUUUAUAUAUAUACUUCUCUGUGUCUUGCUCAUGGCUGCCAACAAGCCCUUCUACACAUAUGCUCUUCUUAUUCUUAUGAUUCUUGCCUUUGAAACUUUCACUUCGGUGGGAAGGACUUUGGUUGAAGACAAGACCAAGGUGUGCAGGAGAUGCUUGGUUCAGGACGCUGGUGCCAAAGGUAUGGUGGAAGGUCCCAUUUCGCCACCAGCAAUCCAUGGAGACGAUGCACUAAUGGUGGGCAUCAGUGAUGCUCGACCCACGACUCCUGGGCACAGUCCAGGUGUUGGCCAUUCUUUUAACUAUAAGAAUGUCGUGAUCAAUAAGAACGUUUAGGUUAUAAGGUUCCACUUAUGCUCCUUGUUUGUAUGUAUGUUGUUUUUAAUGCAUGGUUUAUUUUUAGUGUGUUGUUGGAGUAGCUUGAGUUCAGUUUUUUUUUCUCCCCCUUUUGAUUCACCAAGGCAGUAACAUGCUGCAUGUUUGGAUGAUAACUUCUUAUGUGCUCGUGGUUUGGUUACGCACUUACUGGCCGGG
rnacentral:lncRNA from 1 species